UCCAGGCUGGUCUCAGUGCUCUCCACAACAGUCAACGCAGAGGAAGACUACAGGGCCAGGGGAUUGUAUCAGACUCAUGUAGGCUACAGACUCUCAUCAAACUCUGAUUCAGCAUAUCCCCCAAAUACUGCAAAUGGUGUACAGAGAUGUACAGAUCCAGCUGCCCGUCCAGCAGCUGAAGGCCAUAUUGGGCUGCUCUCUGCAGCGCACAUUCUUCUUCUUUCAACUUGUGUUGUAG